GACGAACGCUGGCGGCGUGCUUAACACAUGCAAGUCGAACGGCAAGGCCCUGCUUUUGUGGGGUGAUCGAGUGGCGAACGGGUGAGUAACACGUGAGUAACCUGCUCUUGACUUUGGGAUAACUUCAGGAAACUGGGGCUAAUACCGGAUAGGAGCUCCUGCUGCAUGGUGGGGGUUGGAAAGUUUCGGCGGUUGGGGAUGGACUCGCGGCUUAUCAGCUUGUUGGUGGGGUAGUGGCUUACCAAGGCUUUGAAGGGUAGCCGGCCUGAGAGGGUGACCGGCCACAUUGGGACUGAGAUACGGCCCAGACUCCUACGGGAGGCAGCAGUGGGGAAUAUUGCACAAUGGGCGGAAGCCUGAUGCAGCAACGCCGCGUGCGGGAUGACGGCCUUCGGGGUGUAAACCGCUUUCGCCUGUGACGAAGCGUGAGUGACGGUAAUGGGUAAAGAAGCACCGGCUAACUACGUG
rnacentral:rRNA from 1 species